AGAGUUUGAUCCUGGCUCAGGACGAACGCUGGCGGCGUGCUUAACACAUGCAAGUCGAACGGUGAAGCCCUUCGGGGUGGAUCAGUGGCGAACGGGUGAGUAACACGUGGGCAAUCUGCCUGCACUCUGGGACAAGCCCUGGAAACGGGGUCUAAUACCGGAUAUGACUGCCAUGGGCAUCCGUGGUGGUGGAAAGCUCC
rnacentral:rRNA from 1 species